UAGAGGCGGCAGAGACAGGAACAGAGCCAAGGCUGUGGAGGCAGGAGACAGGAGGGGAAACCCAGCCACA
rnacentral:sRNA from 1 species